CUGUUCUAUCAAGCAAUGGCUGUGUUCCAAGCGGCUCCCUAUUCUUUUACCAAAUAGGUGCUAUCUUCUGUAUACCACCCCUACCUGAUCACAACACAACUGAUUGGCUCAAACGCACCAAGAGAACAAGGCACACCUGUUAAUUGAAAUGCAUUCCAGGUGACUACCUCAUGAAGCUGGUUGAGAGAAUGCCAAGAGUGUGCAAAACUGUCAUCAAAGCAGAGGGUGCCUACUUUGAAGAAUCUCAGUAACAUUUUUGAUUUAACACUUUAACAGACAUCUGGUUAUAUAUCCACUGACCAGGUGAAACCAACAGCCAUCUGGUUAUAUAUCCACUGACCAGGUGGAACCAACAGCCAUCUGGUUAUAUAUCCACUGACCAGGUGGAACCAACAGCCAUCUGGUUAUAUAUCCACUGACCAGGUGGAACCAACAGCCAUCUGGUUAUAUAUCCACUGACCAGGUGGAACCAACAGCCAUCUGGUUAUAUAUCCACUGACCAGGUGGAACCAACAGCCAUCUGGUUAUAUAUCCACUGACCAGGUGGAACCAACAGCCAUCUGGUUAUAUAUCCACUGACCAGGUGGAACCAACAGCCAUCUGGUUAUAUAUCCACUGACCAGGUGGAACCAACAGCCAUCUGGUUAUAUAUCCACUGACCAGGUGGAACCAACAGCCAUCUGGUUAUAUAUCCACUGACCAGGUGGAACCAACAGCCAUCUGGUUAUAUAUCCACUGACCAGGUGGAACCAACAGCCAUCUGGUUAUAUAUCCACUGACCAGGUGGAACCAACAGCCAUCUGGUUAUAUAUCCACUGACCAGGUGGAACCAACAGCCAUCUGGUUAUAUAUCCACUGACCAGGUGGAACCAACAGCCAUCUGGUUAUAUAUCCACUGACCAGGUGGAACCAACAGCCAUCUGGUUAUAUAUCCACUGACCAGGUGGAACCAACAGCCAUCUGGUUAUAUAUCCACUGACCAGGUGGAACCAACAGCCAUCUGGUUAUAUAUCCACUGACCAGGUGGAACCAACAGCCAUCUGGUUAUAUAUCCACUGACCAGGUGGAACCAACAGCCAUCUGGUUAUAUAUCCACUGACCAGGUGGAACCAACAGCCAUCUGGUUAUAUAUCCACUGACCAGGUGGAACCAACAGCCAUCUGGUUAUAUAUCCACUGACCAGGUGGAACCAACAGCCAUCUGGUUAUAUAUCCACUGACCAGGUGGAACCAACAGCCAUCUGGUUAUAUAUCCACUGACCAGGUGGAACCAACAGCCAUCUGGUUAUAUAUCCACUGACCAGGUGGAACCAACAGCCAUCUGGUUAUAUAUCCACUGACCAGGUGGAACCAACAGCCAUCUGGUUAUAUAUCCACUGACCAGGUGGAACCAACAGCCAUCUGGUUAUAUAUCCACUGAC